rnacentral:rRNA from 1 species
GACGAACGCUGGCGGCGUGCUUAACACAUGCAAGUCGAACGGAAAGGCCUGCUUUCCCUUGUGGAUUGCGGGUACUCGAGUGGCGAACGGGUGAGUAACACGUGAGUGAUCUGCCCCCAACUUGGGUAUAAGCCUGGGAAACUGGGUCUAAUUCCCGAUAGGACUGCAGGGUGGUGCCUGUGGUGGAGAACGAUUUUCUAGUGGUUGGGGAUGAGCUCGCGGCCUAUCAGCUUGUUGGUGGGGUAAUGGCCUACCAAGGCGGCGACGGGUAGCCGGCCUGAGAGGGUGGACGGCCACAUUGGGACUGAGAUACGGCCCAGACUCCUACGGGAGGCAGCAGUGGGGAAUAUUGCACAAUGGGCGGAAGCCUGAUGCAGCGACGCCGCGUGGGGGAUGACGGCCUUCGGGUUGUAAACUCCUUUCGACCGCGAGGAAGCCACCUGGUUGGAAGGGUGGUGACGGUAGUGGGAGAAGAAGCACCGGCUAACUACGUG